rnacentral:rRNA from 1 species
UACGGAGGGUGCGAGCGUUGUCCGGAAUCAUUGGGCGUAAAGGGCGCGUAGGUGGCUUCUUAAGCGUGCGGUGAAAGCCUGGGGCCCAACCCCGGGUCGGCCGUGCGAACUGGGGGGCUUGAGCACUGUAGAGGCAGGCGGAAUUCCGGGAGUAGCGGUGGAAUGCGUAGAGAUCCGGAAGAACACCGGUGGCGAAGGCGGCCUGCUGGGCGGUUUAGCUGACACUGAGGCGCGACAGCGUGGGGAGCAAACAGG